UACGUAGGGGGCAAGCGUUGUCCGGAUUUAUUGGGCGUAAAGAGCGUGUAGGCGGCCGCACAGGUCCGUUGUGAAAACUGGAGGCUUAACCUUCAGACGUCGAUGGAAACCGUGCGGCUAGAGUCCGGAAGAGGAGAGUGGAAUUCCUGGUGUAGCGGUGAAAUGCGCAGAUAUCGGGAGGAACACCGGUGGCGAAGGCGGCGACCUGGGUAGAUACUGACGCUGAGGUGCGAAAGCGUGGGGAGCAAACAGG
rnacentral:rRNA from 1 species